rnacentral:rRNA from 1 species
AGAGUUUGAUCAUGGCUCAGAACGAACACUGGCGGCGUGGAUUAGGCAUGCAAGUCGAACGGGCAAGCUCCCUUCGGGGAGUGAGUAUAGUGGCGAACGGGUGAGUAACGCGUGGGAAACCUACCCUUCAGUGGGGGAUAACAGGCCUAACGGCCUGCUAAUACCGCAUGUGUUCCCGGAAUCGCAUGGUUCCGGGAAGAAAAGUGGCCUCUCCUUGGAAGCUGCUGCUGAAGGAUGGUCCCGCGUCCCAUUAGCUUGUUGGUGGGUUAAUGGCCUACCAAGGCGACGAUGGGUAGCCGGCCUGAGAGGGUGUCCGGCCACACUGGGACUGAGAUACGGCCCAGACUCCUACCGGAGGCAGCAGUCGAGAAGCUUCGGCAAUGGGCGAAAGCCUGACCGAGCGACGCCGCGUGAGCGAUUGAAGGCCCUAUGGGUUGUAAAGCUCUGUCAGAUUGGGAAGCCAACUUCAGGGCGAAUACCCCUGAAGCUUGACGGUACCAUCAGAGGAAGCACCGGCUAACUCCGUGCCAGCAGCCGCGGUAAUACGGAGGGUGCAAGCGUGGUUCGGAUUCACUGGGUAUAAAGGGUGCGCAGGCGGCUUGGUAAGUCAAGGGUGAAAUAUGACGGCUCAACCGUCAAACGGCCUCUGAAACUGCCUUGCUUGAGUCCGGGAGAGGAAGGUGGAAUUCCUGGUGUAGCGGUGGAAUGCGUAAAUAUCAGGAGGAACACCGGUGGCGAAGGCGGCCUUCUGGCCCGGUACUGACGCUCAUGCACGAAAGCUAGGGGAGCGAACAGGAUUAGAUACCCU